AGCAGCCGCGGUAAUUCCAGCUCCAAUAGCGUAUAUUAAAGUUGUUGCAGUUAAAAAGCUCGUAGUUGAAUUUCGGGGUUAGUAGGUUGGUCAUGCCUCUGGUAUGUACUGAUCUCACUGAUUCCUCCUUCCUGAUGAACCGUAAUGCCAUUAAUUUGGUGUUGCGGGGAAUUUGGACUGUUACUUUGAAAAAAUUAGAGUGUUUAAAGCAAGCUAACGCUUGAAUACAUUAGCAUGGAAUAAUGAAAUAGGACGUUCGAUCCUAUUUUGUUGGUUUCUAGGAUUGACGUAAUGAUUAAUAGGGAUAGUUGGGGGCAUUAGUAUUCAAUUGUCAGAGGUGAAAUUCUUGGAUUUAUUGAAGACUAACUACUGCGAAAAGCAUUUGCCAAGGAUGUUUUCAUUAAUCAAGAACGAAAGUUAGGGAUCGAAGACGAUCAGAUACCGUCGUAGUCUUAACCAUAAACUAUGCCGACUAGGGAUCGGAUGAUGUUAAUUUUUUAAUGUACUCAUUCGGCGCCUU
rnacentral:rRNA from 1 species